AACGAACGCUGGCGGCAUGCCUAACACAUGCAAGUCGAACGAGAUCUUCGGGUCUAGUGGCGCACGGGUGCGUAACGCGUGGGAAUCUGCCCUUUGGUUCGGAAUAACAGUUGGAAACGACUGCUAAUACCGGAUGAUGACGAAAGUCCAAAGAUUUAUCGCCAGAGGAUGAGCCCGCGUAGGAUUAGCUAGUUGGUGUGGUAAAGGCGCACCAAGGCGAAGAUCCUUAGCUGGUCUGAGAGGAUGAUCAGCCACACUGGGACUGAGACACGGCCCAGACUCCUACGGGAGGCAGCAGUGGGGAAUAUUGGACAAUGGGCGAAAGCCUGAUCCAGCAAUGCCGCGUGAGUGAUGAAGGCCUUAGGGUUGUAAAGCUCUUUUACCCGGGAUGAUAAUGACAGUACCGGAGAAUAAGCUCCGGCUAACUCCGUGCCAGCCGCCGCCGUAAAAC
rnacentral:rRNA from 1 species